GGCCGACUAGCUCAGCUGGUUAGAGCGUCGUGCUAAUAACUCGAUCCUGUGGUGGCUCGGCCUGAUCAUCCUGAGCUGGCCGCAGGGUUGGUACGCGAAGGUCGUGGGUUCGAUCCCCCCGUUGGCCA
rfam:Pisolithus tinctorius Marx 270 unplaced genomic scaffold scaffold_16, whole genome shotgun sequence.